AUUGAACGCUGGCGGCAGGCUUAACACAUGCAAGUCGAGCGAGCGGCGGACGGGUGAGUAAUGUCUGGGAAACUGCCUGAUGGAGGGGGAUAACUACUGGAAACGGUAGCUAAUACCGCAUACCAUCAGAUGUGCCCAGAUGGGAUUAGCUAGUAGGUGGGGUAAUGGCUCACCUAGGCGACGAUCCCUAGCUGGUCUGAGAGGAUGACCAGCAAAACUGAGACUGAGACACGGGCCAGACUCCUACGGGAGGCAGCAGGGGGGAAGAAGGCACAGUGGGCGCCAGCCUGAUGCAGCCAGGCCGCGUGUGGGAAGAAGGCCUUUGGGUUGGAAAGGACGGUCAGCGAGGAGGCGUUACUCGCAGAAGAAGCACCGGCUAUCUCAGCGCCAGCAGCCGCGGUAAUUC
rnacentral:rRNA from 1 species